GACGAACGCUGGCGGCGUGCUUAACACAUGCAAGUCGAACGGAAAGGCCCUGCUUUUGUGGGGUGCUCGAGUGGCGAACGGGUGAGUAACACGUGAGUAACCUGCCCUUGACUUUGGGAUAACUUCAGGAAACUGGGGCUAAUACCGGAUAGGAGCUCCUGCUGCAUGGUGGGGGUUGGAAAGUUUCGGCGGUUGGGGAUGGACUCGCGGCUUAUCAGCUUGUUGGUGGGGUAGUGGCUUACCAAGGGUUUGACGGGUAGCCGGCCUGAGAGGGUGACCGGCCACCAUGGGCAUGGGCAACGGCCCAGACUCCUACGGGAGGCAGCAGUGGGGAAUAUUGCACAAUGGGCGGAAGCCUGAUGCAGCAACGCCGCGUGCGGGAUGACGGCCUUCGGGUUGUAAACCGCUUUCGCCUGUGACGAAGCGUGAGUGACGGUAAUGGGUAAAGAAGCACCGGCUAACUACGUG
rnacentral:rRNA from 1 species